UUGGCUCAGGGACGAACGCUGGCGGCGUGCCUAAUACAUGCAAGUCGAGCGAAUGGAUUAAGAGCUUGCUCUUAUGAAGUUAGCGGCGGACGGGUGAGUAACACGUGGGUAACCUGCCCAUAAGACUGGGAUAACUCCGGGAAACCGGGGCUAAUACCGGAUAACAUUUUGAACCGCAUGGUUCGAAAUUGAAAGGCGGCUUCGGCUGUCACUUAUGGAUGGACCCGCGUCGCAUUAGCUAGUUGGUGAGGUAACGGCUCACCAAGGCAACGAUGCGUAGCCGACCUGAGAGGGUGAUCGGCCACACUGGGACUGAGACACGGCCCAGACUCCUACGGGAGGNAGCAGUAGGA
rnacentral:rRNA from 1 species